CCCUUAGAUGUCCGGGGCUGCACGCGCGCUACACUGAAGGAAUCAGCGUGCUAAAACCACUGUCGAAAGGUAUUGGUAAACCCAUUAAAAUCCUACGUGAUUGGGAUCGGGAAUUGCAAUUAUUUCCCUUGAACGAGGAAUUCCCAGUAAGUGUGGGUCAUAAGCUCGCGUUGAUUACGUCCCUGCCCUUUGUACACACCGCCCGUCGCUGCCCGGGACUGAGCCGUUUCGAGAAAAGCGGGGACUGCUGCUGUCGGGGCUUUCGGGCCUUGGCUUCGGUGGAAACCGCUUUAAUCGCAGUGGCUUGAACCGGGCAAAAGUCGUAACA
rnacentral:rRNA from 1 species